GAUGCAGCCAUGCCGCGUGUGUGAAGAAGGACCUCGGGUUGUAAAGCACUUUCAGUAGGGAGGAAGGUAGUGUAGUUAACACCUGCAUUAUUUGACGUUACCUACAGAAGAAGCACCGGCUAACUCCGUGCCAGCAGCCGCGGUAAUACGGAGGGUGCGAGCGUUAAUCGGAAUUACUGGGCGUAAAGCGCAUGCAGGCGGCCUGUUAAGUCAGAUGUGAAAGCCCGGGGCUUAACCUCGGAAUUGCAUUUGAAACUGGCAGGCUAGAGUCUUGUAGAGGGGGGGUAGGAAUUUCAGGUGUAGCGGUGAAAUGCGUAGAGAUCUGAAGGAAUACCAGUGGCGAAGGCGGCCCCCUGGACAAAGACUGACGCUCAGAUGCGAAAAGCGUGGGGGAGCAAACAGGAUUAGAUACCCCUGGUAG
rnacentral:rRNA from 1 species